rnacentral:tRNA from 1 species
GAUGGUAUAGCUCAAGCGGCAGAGCGGUAGUUUCAUAGGCUACGGGUUGCAGGUUCAAGUCCUGCUGCCAUCA